CACGUAGGGUGCGAGCGUUGUCCGGAAUUAUUGGGCGUAAAGAGCUCGUAGGCGGUGUGUCGCGUCGGCCGUGAAAACCUGCAGCUUAACUGUGGGCUUGCGGUCGAUACGGGCAUCACUGGAGUUCGGCAGGGGAGACUGGAAUUCCUGGUGUAGCGGUGAAAUGCGCAGAUAUCAGGAGGAACACCGGUGGCGAAAGCGGCUCUCUGGAACGGUACUGACGCUGAGACGCGAAAGCGUGGGGAGCGAACAGG
rnacentral:rRNA from 1 species